CAACCCUCAAGCCCCAGGCGGGCUUGGUGUUGGGGACCGGCCCCGGCCGCCCCCGAAAUACAGUGGCGACCUCGCUGCAGCCUCCUCUGCGUAGUAGCACAACCUCGCACCGGAGCGCAGAGACGGUCACGCCGUAAAACGCCCAACUUCUCAAG
rnacentral:misc_RNA from 1 species